AAUAGAUCCGGGUAGUCCAUGCCGUAAACGUUGGGAACUAGAUGUAGGGCCUGUUCCACGGGUUCUGUGUCGUAGCUAACGCAUUAAGUUCCCCGCCUGGGGAGUACGGCCGCAAGGCUAAAACUCAAAGGAAUUGACGGGGGCCCGCACAAGCGGCGGAGCAUGCGGAUUAAUUCGAUGCAACGCGAAGAACCUUACCAAGGCUUGACAUAUAGAAGAACACUGCAGAGAUGCAGGACUCUUUGGACACUUCUAUACAGGUGGUGCAUGGUUGUCGUCAGCUCGUGUCGUGAGAUGUUCGGUUAAGUCCGGCAACGAGCGCAACCCUCGUCCUAUGUUGCCAGCACGUGAUGGUGGGAACUCAUGGGAUACUGCCGUGGUCAACACGGAGGAAGGUGGGGAUGACGUCAAAUCAUCAUGCCCCUUAUGUCUUGGGCUUCACGCAUGCUACAAUGGCCGGUACAAAGGGCUGCGAUACCGUAAGGUGGAGCGAAUCCCAAAAAGCCGGUCUCAGUUCGGAUUGGGGU
rnacentral:rRNA from 1 species